rnacentral:rRNA from 1 species
CGGGUCCUAAGGCGAGGCCGACAGGCGUAGUCGAUGGUCAACGGGUUGAUAUUCCCGUACCCGUAUGUGCGCGCCCAGUAUCGAAGCGGUGAGACUAACCACCCUGAUCUGCCGAUCGUUGCCAUCCCUUCGGGGAUGGUUGGUUGGUGGUGAUGCGUGGGGCCUGAUCCGUGGUAGGUCAGUGAUGGGGUGACGCAGUGAGGUAGCUAAGCCGCUUAUUGGAUUGCGGUGCAAGCGUGUGGCACGACAACAUUGGUCAAAUCCGGUUGUCAUCAAGUGUGAGGCGUGAUGCGUAGCCCGAAUCGGGUGAUGUUGGUGAUCCUGUACUGCCGAGAAAAGCCUCUAGCGAU